AUUGAACGCUGGCGGCGUGCCUAAUACAUGCAAGUCGAACGCAGUGGGGACGGGUGAGUAAAACGUGGGUAACCUCCCAUCAGAGGGGAUAACACUUGGAAACAGGUGCUAAACCGAUACUGAUGGAUGGACUCGCGGUGCAUUAGCUAGUUGGUGAGGUAACGGCUCACCAGGGCCACGAUGCAUAGCCGGCCGGGGAGGGUGGUCGGCCACACUGGGACUGAGACACGGCCCAGACUCCUACGGGAGGCAGCAGUAGGGAAACUUCGGCAAUGGGCGAAAGUCUGACCGAGCAACGCCGCGUAAGUGAAGAAGGUGUUCGGGUCGUAAAGCUCUGUUGUUAGAGAAGCGGUAUCUAACCAGAAAGCCACGGCUAACUACGUGCCAGCAGCCGCGGUAAUUC
rnacentral:rRNA from 1 species